GAUCAGUCACACUGGUACUGAGACACGGACCAGACUCCUACGGGAGGCAGCAGUGGGGAAUAUUGGGCAAUGGACGCAAGUCUGACCCAGCAACGCCGCGUGGAGGAUGACGCAUUUCGGUGUGUAAACUCCUUUUAUCAGAGAAGAUAAUGACGGUAUCUGUUGAAUAAGCACCGGCUAACUCCGUGCCAGCAGCCGCGGUAAUACGGAGGGUGCAAGCGUUGCUCGGAAUUACUGGGCGUAAAGGGUGCGUAGGCGGAUUAGUAAGUCUCGUGUGAAAUCCUACGGCUUAACCGUAGAACUGCACGGGAAACUGUUAAUCUAGAGUGUGUAAGAGGCAGGUGGAAUUAGUGGUGUAGGGGUAAAAUCCGUAGAUAUCACUAGGAAUACCGAUGGCGAAGGCGACCUGCUGGAACAUAACUGACGCUGAGGCACGAAAGCGUGGGGAGCAAACAGGAUUAGAUACCCUGGUAGUCCACGCCCUAAACGAUGGAUGCUAGUUGUUGGAAGGUUCAGCCUUUCAGUAAUACAGCUAACGCAUUAAGCAUCCCGCCUGGGGAGUACGGUCGCAAGAUUAAAACUCAAAGGAAUAGACGGGGACCCGCACAAGCGGUGGAGCAUGUGGUUUAAUUCGAAAAUACGCGAAGAACCUUACCUGGACUUGACAUUGAUAGAAACUUAUAGAGAUAUGAGUGUGCUAGUUUACUAGAACUUGAAAACAGGUGCUGCACGGCUGUCGUCAGCUCGUGUCGUGAGAUGUUGGGUUAAGUCCCGCAACGAGCGCAACCCUCGUCCUUAGUUGCUAACAGUUCGGCUGAGCACUCUAGGGAUACUGCCUUCGUAAGGAGGAGGAAGGUGAGGACGACGUCAAGUCAUCAUGGCCCUUAUGUCCAGGGCAACACACGUGCUACAAUGGGGUAGACAAUGAGAAGCGAUACCGCGAGGUGGAGCAAAUCUAUAAACUAUCUCUCAGUUCGGAUUGUUCUCUGCAACUCGAGAACAUGAAGUUGGAAUCGCUAGUAAUCGUAGAUCAGCUAUGCUACGGUGAAUACGUUCCCGGGUCUUGUACUCACCGCCCGUCACACCAUGGGAGUUGAAUUCACCUUAAGUCGGGAUGCUAAAGUAGCUACCGCCCACGGUGGAUUCAGCGACUGGGGUGAAGUCGGAACAAGGUAACCGUAGGAGAACCUGCGGUUG
rnacentral:rRNA from 1 species